GGAUGGUGUACUUCAAAGGCCUAUGUAUUACAUGAGCCGAGUUCUCCAUAACACAGAAAUCAAGUAGACCACAUUGGAGAAAGCGGUGUACAUGCUUGUAAUUCAAUAAAGAGAUUGCAUUCAUACUUCCAAGUGCCUACUAACCAGCCUAUAGGGUCAGUUCUUUACUGACCUUAGACCUUGGAUCAGCUAGCAAAGUGGGCUGGAAGAGUUUGACAUAAAAUGCUUCUCUCAGCCAUUCAACAAAGUUCAGGUUUUAGUAGAUUUUGUUCUAGAAUAU
rnacentral:lncRNA from 1 species